CCCUUAGAUGUUCGGGGCCGCACGCGCGCUACACUGAAGGAAUCAGCACGUCUUUCUCCUUGUCCGAAAGGACUGGGUAACCCGCUGAACCUCCUUCGUGCUAGGGAUUGGGGCUUGUAAUUCUUCCCCAUGAACGAGGAAUUCCCAGUAAGCGCGAGUCAUAAGCUCGCGUUGAUUACGUCCCUGCCCUUUGUACACACCGCCCGUCGCUACUACCGAUUGGAUGGUUUAGUGAGAUCCUCGGAUUGGUCCCGUAGCGGCCUCUGGUCGUGCCGGAGUGCCGAAAAGAAUGUCGAACUUGAUCAUCUAGAGGAAGUAAAAGUCGUAACA
rnacentral:rRNA from 1 species